CACUCAAAAGCGAUGUAUGUGAGCAGUGUUGCUGCUGAAAAAAUGGCUGAGAUGCCACAGCCGAUGUAGGUAAUGAAGAAUGCCAAAGUGCGUGAGGUGAUUACACAAGCAGACGGUCCUGUUGCUGUUGGACUCUGGACUGACCUCACAGCCUUCACUAUUCCAGCCCCCUGUGUGAUCUAAUGGAGACAAAUGGAUAUUACACAAUUACUCUUUCCAGGAACCGUUGGCUCCUAAUCAAUGGGUGCAACCUCUGGGCAUGGUCCAUACACGUCACCUCUCAUUACACUGCUUUAAUUGCUAAAGAUUACUUUAAAACUUUACUGCUAAAAUGUUUAGGCAGCACAAAACACAGCUUAAAUGUUUGGACAGCCCACUGUAGGAAGCCUUAAGCAAAUUUUACGUGCAGUACAUAUUCAAAUACACACGCAUAACCAGAUAUAGACCACAUCAAGCAGAAACACACUCACAUACUCAUAUAAAGACUUGUCAAAUGUCACAUCAAACGACAUGUAACACCUGAAGCAGAGAUGUGCCGUGACAUUUACCUGAGGG